rnacentral:rRNA from 1 species
ACCGAACCGACUUACGUUGAAAAGUGAGCGGAUGAACUGAGGGUAGCGGAGAAAUUCCAAUCGAACUUGGAGAUAGCUGGUUCUCUCCGAAAUAGCUUUAGGGCUAGCCUCAAGUGAUGAUUAUUGGAGGUAGAGCACUGUUUGGACGAGGGGCCCCUCUCGGGUUACCGAAUUCAGACAAACUCCGAAUGCCAAUUAAUUUAACUUGGGAGUCAGAACAUGGGUGAUAAGGUCCGUGUUCGAAAGGGAAACAGCCCAGACCACCAGCUAAGGUCCCAAAAUAUAUGUUAAGUGGAAAAGGAUGUGGCGUUGCCCAGACAACUAGGAUGUUGGCUUAGAAGCAGCCAUCAUUUAAAGAGUGCGUAAUAGCUCACUAGUCGAGUGACACUGCGCCGAAAAUGUACCGGGGCUAAACAUAUUACCGAAGCUGUGGAUUGUCCUUUGGACAAUGGUAGGAGAGCGUUCUAAGGGCGUCGAAGCAUGAUCGCAAGGACAUGUGGAGCGCUUAGAAGUGAGAAUGCCGGUGUGAGUAG